UACGUAGGUGGUUUGCCAAGUCCGAUGUGAAAUCUCCUGGCUUAACUGGGAGGGUGCGUUAGAUACUGGCAGGCUUGAGUGUGGGAGAGGAGAGCGGAAUUCCUGGUGUAGCGGUGAAAUGCGUAGAUAUCAGGAGGAACGCCUGUGGUGUAGACGGCUCUCUGGACCAUUACUGACACUGAGGUAGAAAGCGUGGGUAGCAAACA
rnacentral:rRNA from 1 species